rnacentral:rRNA from 1 species
GACAGAGGUGCCGAGCGUUAGGCGGAAUCACUGGGCUUAAAGCGUGUGUAGGCGGACGUCUAAGUACCUUGUGAAAUCCCACGGCUCAACCGUGGAACUGCUCGGUAUACUGGUCGUCUUGAGCCACUUAGGGGCAGUCGGAACAGACGGUGGAGCGGUGAAAUGCGUAGAUAUCAGGAGGAACACCGGUGGCGAAGGCGGGUCUCUGGGCCGUAACUGACGCUGAGGAGCGAAAGCGUGGGGAGCGAACAGG